rnacentral:tmRNA from 1 species
CAGGGCAUGCCGAGCGGCUGGGUAGCUCGUGAUUCCAUCUGGAAACAAAGUAACUGCGAACGAUUCUUCGUACGCCCUCGCCGCUUAAUACCGGUGAGCCUCGCAACGGUUGGCCGAUGGGCCGGGCCUGAGACCCGCAAGGUUUGAUGGCUGCGAGGUCAUUCACAUUGGCUGGUGCCGUCCCGGGUCACUCGGGCCGGAGCGAGACUCAAGUGACUGGCGGUUCCGGUAGCGUGCUGCUGCGCGACCGGGGCCGCGAGACUCAAAUCAGACAGCUAAGCAUGUAGAACUG